UAUUAUGACGUCAUUAUACAGAUUUAGCCGAGGACGUGGACGUCAAAGAAGACGUGAAAAUGGCGUGGCAUAUCCAUACAUGGGCACAACACGGCAUUUUCACGUCGUCUUUGACGUCCGCGUCCUCGAUCUAAAUCUGUGAAUUAUCAUUUUGGCG